GUCUAUAGCCAUACCACCCUGGAUCUCAUUUGAUCUCAGAAGCUAAGCGAGGUCAGGCUUGGUUAGUACUUGGAUGGGAGAAAAUGAACAUAUGAGAUAUCAAAAUAUUUGGGACA
ensembl:rRNA 5S_rRNA 5S ribosomal RNA